UCUAUCGCUGCCAACCUAUAUAGGGUAAAUCAUGGUCCCAUUUGGUCCCAUUUUGUAAAAUGGGACCAAAUGGGACCAGAAUCACUAAUUUAUUAGUAAAACAUGAUCUGGGACUAGAUUUAUAAUAUAAACAGUGUAAAGUGACUAAUUUGCUAAACACUAUAUGGGACCAGGACUAAGAUAUCUAAUAAUGGGACUGAGGAAAAAUUUGGUCCCAGUCCCAUGCAUGGUCACACGGCCAGUCUA
rnacentral:sRNA from 1 species